rnacentral:rRNA from 1 species
AGAGUUUGAUCCUGGCUCAGAACGAACGCUGGCGGCAUGCCUAACACAUGCAAGUCGAACGUGAUCCAGGCUUCGGCCUGGUGAAAGUGGCAGACGGGUGAGUAACGCGUGGGAACCUGCCCUGUGGUAGGGAAUAACCGUGGGAAACUGCGGCUAAUACCCUAUGAGUCCUUCGGGAGAAAGAUUUAUCGCCAUAGGAGGGGCCCGCGUCGGAUUAGGUAGUUGGUGGGGUAACGGCCUACCAAGCCUUCGAUCCGUAGCUGGUCUGAGAGGAUGAUCAGCCACACUGGGACUGAGAUACGGCCCAGACUCCUACGGGAGGCAGCAGUGGGGAAUAUUGGACAAUGGGGGCAACCCUGAUCCAGCAAUGCCGCGUGGAUGAUGAAGGCCUUCGGGUUGUAAAGUCCUUUCGGCGGGGAAGAUGAUGACGGUACCCGCAGAAGAAGCCCCGGCUAACUUCGUGCCAGCAGCCGCGGUAAUACGAAGGGGGCUAGCGUUGUUCGGAAUUACUGGGCGUAAAGGGCGCGUAGGCUGUGCUGUAAGUCAGGCGUGAAAGCCCCGGGCUCAACCUGGGAAUUGCGCUUGAUACUGCGGCGCUGGAAGGUGGGAGAGGAUGGCGGAAUUCCCAGUGUAGAGGUGAAAUUCGUAGAUAUUGGGAAGAACACCGGUGGCGAAGGCGGCCAUCUGGCCCACAAUUGACGCUGAGGCGCGAAAGCGUGGGGAGCAAACAGGAUUAGAUACCCUAGUAGUCC